rnacentral:sRNA from 1 species
CCUCAGCCGCCUCGCACAUUUAGUCUUGCCGGGAGUGGUGUGAUUCCCGACCAAGAUGGCGGCCGUCGGGCGAGUCGGCUCCUUCGGUUCUUCUCCGCCGGGAUUAUCCUCGACUUACACUGGCGGCCCCUUGGGCAACGAGAUAGCGUCGGGCAACGGUGGCGCCGCGGCAGGCGACGACGAGGACGGGCAGAACCUCUGGUCCUGCAUCCUCAGCGAGGUCUCCACCCGCUCGCGCUCCAAGCUCCCUGCGGGGAAGAACGUGCUACUGCUGGGUGAAGAUGGAGCUGGAAAAACAAGCUUAAUAAGAAAAAUUCAGGGAAUAGAGGAGUAUAAGAAAGGAAGAGGAUUGGAAUAUUUGUACUUAAAUGUGCAUGAUGAAGACAGGGAUGGUGAGUGUCAUUUGUAACAUAAAUUUCUGAAGUCUAUUUUGAGGUGCACUGCCAUUCACAUUAGUCUUUGAUUUUUUUUAGUGUGUAAUUUUUUACUAGAAGUUCUGUGAUGUCAUGCUGGUCAAGAAAUAGCUAUGUUUAGCCAUACUUUUAUUAAUUUGGGAUUGGGAUUCAUAUAUGAUACUUUUAAGCAUCUUAAGGUAUCCUGGUGUGCAGAUACUUCUUUCCUGCCGUACUUGAAGAAUCUCAGUUUUUCAGUUCAUCUUCCCUCAGAUAGUGAUUGUUUUGUUGACUCCCAUUUCACUUUCUAAUUUUCUGAUAAAAAUAUUAUCUACUCAGCUUUUUUAUCUAUCAGCUAUUUUUUCUUCUGUAGAUCACUUGCCUUCUCAUUUUUGUAUAUGAUAUCUUGAGUAUGCAUAUCU